UACGUAGGCAGCGAGCGUUGUUCGGAGUUACUGGGCGUAAAGGGUGUGUAGGCGGUUCUUUAAGUUUGGUGUGAAAUCUCCCGGCUCAACCGGGAGGGUGCGCCGAAUACUGAGGGACUAGAGUACGGGAGAGGAAAGUGGAAUUCCUGGUGUAGCGGUGAAAUGCGUAGAUAUCAGGAGGAACACCGGUGGUGUAGACGGCUUUCUGGACCGUAACUGACGCUGAAGACGAAAGCGUGGGGAGCAAACAGG
rnacentral:rRNA from 1 species